UUGACAGCCCCCAGGGCUCUGGGCCUGCAUUGAUCCACUGUGCACGCACAGCACAGACAGGAGCGAUGUAGCUUCUCUCUGCCACUAGUAUGUCUCAGCCCAGACUUGGGAAUCAGCUCUAAAGGAGACAGGGGGACAGCUCAGCUUUCAUAUUUUCCCAGUCCUUAGUUUCU
rnacentral:sRNA from 1 species